rnacentral:lncRNA from 1 species
CUCUUGCUCUUGCUCUUGCUCUUCCUCCUCCUCUCUGUGGAGCUGCCAUGUGAGCCCUGGAAGACAGGACGCCUUCCACCAGUGUACUCCAUAAGGGGCACUUGCACUUCAUGUUUUCCUGAACACAGCAUGGGAAAAGCCAGUGUAUCUGACAUGCCAGGACCUAAGAACACAGGACUUUCAAUCGGUGUCCAUCACUCUCCAUUGCCUCUGCUGCAAUGUCCUUUCAGCUGGAAUGUCACAGAGGCUCCUUCUGGAAGGUUGUUUACAUGGUAGAUUACAUUAUUGUUUUCCAUACAUUGAACCAUCCCUGCAUCUCUGGAAUGAAACCUACUUGAUCUUUUAAAUGUGUUCUUGGAUCUGGUUGCAUGUAUUUUAUUGAGUAUUUUUGCAUCUAUGUUCAUAAAGGAAACUGGAGGCUGAGAGAACUGUUCUUG